rnacentral:rRNA from 1 species
GACGAACGCUGGCGGCGUGCUUAACACAUGCAAGUCGUACGGUAAGGCCCUUUCGGGGGUACACGAGUGGCGAACGGGUGAGUAACACGUGAGUAACCUGCCCACAACUUUGGGAUAACGCUAGGAAACUGGUGCUAAUACUGGAUAUGUGCUCCUGCUGCAUGGUGGGGGUUGGAAAGCUCCGGCGGGUGUGGAUGGACUCGCGGCCUAUCAGCUUGUUGGUGGGGUAGUGGCCUACCAAGGCGGCGACGGGUAGCCGGCCUGAGAGGGUGACCGGCCACAUUGGGACUGAGAUACGGCCCAGCCUCCUACGGGGGGCAGCAGUGGGGAAUAUUGCACAAUGGGCGCAAGCCUGGUGCAGCAACGCCGCGUGCGGGAUGACGGCCUUCGGGUUGUAAACCGCUUUCAGCAGGGACGAAGCUUUUUGUGACGGUACCUGCAGAAGAAGCACCGGCUAACUACGUG